GCGUCUGUUAGCCUAGUUGGUAAAGGCAGCACUCUAGUAUGUGUCUCAGCAUAGCUGAGGUCGUGAGUUCGACUCUCACCAGACACA
rnacentral:tRNA from 1 species